rnacentral:rRNA from 1 species
AUUGAACGCUGGCGGCAGGCUUAACACAUGCAAGUCGAGCGAGCGGCGGACGGGUGAGCAAUGUCUGGGAAACUGCCUGAUGGAGGGGGACAACUACCGGAAACGGUAGCUAAUACCGUACACCUUAAGCUGUGCCCAGAUGGGAUUAGCUAGUAGGUGGGGCAAUGGCUCACCAAGGCGAUGAUCCGUAGCUGGUCUGAGAGGAUGACCAGCCACACUGGAACUGGGAGACGGUCCAGACUCCUACGGGAGGCAGCAGUGGGGAAUAUUGGACAAUGGGCGAAAGCCUGAUGCAGCCAUGCCGCGUGUGUGAAGAAGGCCUUCGGGUUGUAAAGCACUUUCAGCGAGGAGGCGUUACUCGCAGAAGAAGCACCGGCUAACUCCGUGCCAGCAGCCGCGGUAAUAC